rnacentral:rRNA from 1 species
UCUCUCUGAAUCUGCGUACGGCUCCGCACACAGUUGCAAACUAUAGCAAGCCCGCUUGCCGUACCUGCCGCAAGGUAAUGGCGGUAGGCAGAUGGAUAACCCUGGUAAUUCUGAGGCUAAUACGAGAACGCAAUCCUUGGCUGACCGGGCAACUGGGAGGCUGAGAGGCGUGCAAGUUGUGUCGCGGGAAAUCGCCGGGAUUGGAUGCACGCCUGGACCGCGCCAAAGACAGAUGAGUGUCCCUGACCCUCACGGGAAGGUGACGCUUGCCUGAGCGGCUCUUGCAAUGUGCUUCUGACCUAUCAACUAGACGGCAGCGUAAAGGACAUGCUACGGUUACAACGGGUACAGAGGAUUAGGGUUCGAUCCUGGAGAGUGGGCCUGAGAGAUUGAGC